GCCCCCAUCGUCUAGCGGCCUAGGACGCCGCCCUUUCAAGGCGGAGAUCAGGGGUUCGAAUCCCCUUGGGGGCA
rnacentral:tRNA from 1 species